AUUGAACGCUGGCGGCAUGCUUUACACAUGCAAGUCGAACGGUAACAGGCCUUCGGGUGCUGCCGAGUGGCGAACGGGUGCGUAAUGCAUCGGAACGUACCCAGAGGUGGGGGAUAACGCAGCGAAAGCUGUGCUAAUACUGCAUGUGAUCUGAGGAUGAAAGCGGGGGACCGAGCAGCAAUGUUUGGCCUCGCGCCUUUGGAGCGGCCGAUGUCGGAUUAGCUAGUUGGUGGGGUAAAGGCCUACCAAGGCGACGAUCCGUAGCUGGUCUGAGAGGACGACCAGCCAUACUGGGACUGAGACACGGCCCAGACUCCUACGGGAGGCAGCAGUGGGGAAUUUUGGACAAUGGGCGCAAGCCUGAUCCAGCAAUGCCGCGUGCGGGAAGAAGGCCUUCGGGUUGUAAACCGCUUUUGGCAGGAACGAAACGGUGUCCGCUAAUACCGGGCGCUAAUGACGGUACCUGCAGAAUAAGCACCGGCUAACUACGU
rnacentral:rRNA from 1 species